rnacentral:rRNA from 1 species
GACGAACGCUGGCGGCGUGCUUAACACAUGCAAGUCGAACGGAAAGGCCCUGCUUUUGUGGGGUGCUCGAGUGGCGAACGGGUGAGUAACACGUGAGUAACCUGCCCUUGACUUUGGGAUAACUUCAGGAAACUGGGGCUAAUACCGGAUAGGAGCUCCUGCUGCAUGGUGGGGGUUGGAAAGUUUCGGCGGUUGGAUGGACUCGCGGCUUAUCAGCUUGUUGGUGGGGUAGUGGCUUACCAAGGCUUUGACGGGUAGCCGGCCUGAGAGGGUGACCGGCCACAUUGGGACUGAGAUACGGCCCAGACUCCUACGGGAGGCAGCAGUGGGGAAUAUUGCACAAUGGGCGGAAGCCUGAUGCAGCAACGCCGCGUGCGGGAUGACGGCCUUCGGGUUGUAAACCGCUUUCGCCUGUGACGAAGCGUGAGUGACGGUAAUGGGUAAAGAAGCACCGGCUAACUACGUG